GUUCCCUACGGGGGGCAGCAGUAGGGAAUUUUCGUCAAUGGGCGCAAGCCUGAACGAGCAAUGCCGCGUGAACGAGGAAGGUCAUCGGAUCGUAAAGUUCUGGUUAAGGGGAAAAAGAGCGGAGAGAGGAAAUGCUUUCUGAUUGAUAUUACCCUUCGAGGAAGUCACGGCUAACUACGUGCCAGCAGCCGCGGUAAUACGUAGGUGGCGAGCGUUAUCCGGAAUGAUUGGGCGUAAAGGGUGCGUAGGCGGCCUGCUAAGUCUGGAGUGAAAGGUACCGGCUCAACCGGUACAGGCUCUGGAAA
rnacentral:rRNA from 1 species